rnacentral:rRNA from 1 species
UACGUAGGGUGCAAGCGUUGUCCGGAAUUAUUGGGCGUAAAGAGCUUGUAGGCGGUUUGUCGCGUCUGCUGUGAAAUUUCGGGGCUCAACCCCGAACUUGCAGUGGGUACGGGGCAGACUAGAGUGUGGUAGGGGGAGACUGGAAUUCCUGGUGUAGCGGUGAAAUGCGCAGAUAUCAGGAGGAACACCGAUGGCGAAGGCAGGUCUCUGGGCCAUAACUGACGCUGAGAAGCGAAGGCCAGGGGAGCAAACGGG